rnacentral:rRNA from 1 species
CCUACGGGAGGCAGCAGUGAGGAAUAUUGGUCAAUGGGCGCGAGCCUGAACCAGCCAAGUAGCGUGAAGGAUGACUGCCCUACGGGUUGUAAACUUCUUUUAUAAAGGAAUAAAGUGAGGCACGUAUACCUUUUUGUAUGUACUUUAUGAAUAAGGCUCGGCUAACUCCGUGCCAGCAGCCGCGGUAAUACGGAGGAUCCGAGCGUUAUCCGGAUUUAUUGGGUUUAAAGGGAGCGUAGAUGGGUUGUUAAGUCAGUUGUGAAAGUUUGCGGCUCAACCGUAAAAUUGCAAUUGAUACUGGCAGUCUUGAGUACAGUUGAGGUAGGCGGAAUUCGUGGUGUAGCGGUGAAAUGCUUAGAGAUCACGAAGAACUCCGAUUGCGAAGGCAGCCUACUAAACUGCCACUGACAUUGAUGCUCGAAAGUGUGGGUAUCAAACAGGAUUAGAUACCCGGGUAGUC